rnacentral:rRNA from 1 species
AACGAACGCUGGCGGCAGGCCUAACACAUGCAAGUCGAGCGAGGACUUCGGUCCUAGCGGCGGACGGGUGAGUAACGCGUGGGAACGUGCCCUUUGCUUCGGAAUAGCCCUGGGAAACUGGGAGUAAUACCGGAUGAGCCCUUUGGGGGAAAGAUUUAUCGGCGAAGGAUCGGCCUGCGUUGGAUUAGGUAGUUGGUGGGGUAAUGGCCUACCAAGCCGACGAUCCAUAGCUGGUUUGAGAGGAUGAUCAGCCACACUGGGACUGAGACACGGCCCAGACUCCUACGGGAGGCAGCAGUGGGGAAUCUUAGACAAUGGGGGAAACCCUGAUCUAGCCAUGCCGCGUGAGCGAUGAAGGCCUUAGGGUUGUAAAGCUCUUUCAGCUGGGAAGAUAAUGACGGUACCAGCAGAAGAAGCCCCGGCUAACUCCGUG